rnacentral:rRNA from 1 species
UACGGGGGGAGCAAGCGUUGUUCGGAUUUACUGGGCGUAAAGGGCGCGUAGGCGGCCACCGCAAGUCGACUGUGAAAUCUCCGGGCUUAACCCGGAAAGGUCAACUGAUACUGCGGGGCUAGAGUGCGGAAGGGGCAACUGGAAUUCUCGGUGUAGCGGUGAAAUGCGUAGAUAUCGAGAGGAACACCUGCGGCGAAGGCGGGUUGCUGGGCCGACACUGACGCUGAUGCGCGAAAGCCAGGGGAGCGAACGGG